UUAUCAAUGCAAAGUCGAAACCUUUGAGAUUAGAUGCAGAUCAGCGUGCAGGGCUGGACGUGAGGAUGGGGCACUCUUUGCUCUGUUUGCUGGGGUUAUUCUUGCUCAGUACAGUCAGACAUGGAAACACUGAAGACCUUGGAGUGAAGGCCACUCUGACAGCAGACAGAUUAACUAUACCAGCAGGGGGCAGUGUGACACUGACCUGUGAUGUGAAGAACUCUGCUGACUUUGAAUAUGACUGGUUCAGAGAACCCAGUUUAAACUCUAACCAGAAGUUCGCAGUAGCUGGUGAAUCAAAGAGAGAACUGGUGACCUCUAAAGGCGGCAUCUACAACUGCAGAGGAUGUAUAAAAGGGACAAAUUUACUCA
ensembl:lncRNA